GAUGAAACUAAGAUGAUGGAGAGGCUCUGGGGUGAGAACUUCUUUGACCCAGCGACAAAGAAGUGGACCACCAAGAACACAGGCUCUGCUACCUGCAAGAGAGGAUUUGUUCAGUUCUGCUAUGAGCCAAUCAAGCAAAUCAUCAACACCUGCAUGAAUGACCAGAAGGAUAAGUUGUGGCCCAUGCUUCAAAAGCUUAAUGUUACCAUGAAGUCUGAUGAGAAGGAAUUGGUUGGCAAGGCUUUGAUGAAGCGUGUUAUGCAAACUUGGCUUCCAGCUAGUACUGCACUGCUUGAGAUGAUGAUAUUCCACCUUCCUUCCCCAUCAAAGGCACAAAAGUAUCGUGUGGAGAACUU
rnacentral:lncRNA from 1 species